ACUACGGGUGGCUGCAGUGAGGAAUAUUGGUCAAUGGCCGAGAGGCUGAACCAGCCAAGUCGCGUGAGGGAAGACGGCCCUACGGGUUGUAAACCUCUUUUGUCGGGGAACAAAGGCGUCCACGUGUGGACUGAUGAGUGUACCCGAAGAAAAAGCAUCGGCUAACUCCGUGCCAGCAGCCGCGGUAAUACGGAGGAUGCGAGCGUUAUCCGGAUUUAUUGGGUUUAAAGGGUGCGUAGGCGGACAGUCAAGUCAGCGGUAAAAAUGCGGUGCUCAACGCCGUACAGCCGUUGAAACUGGCAGUCUUGAGUGGGCGAGAAGUAUGCGGAAUGCGUGGUGUAGCGGUGAAAUGCAUAGAUAUCACGCAGAACUCCGAUUGCGAAGGCAGCAUACCGGCGCCCUACUGACGCUGAGGCACGAAAGCGUGGGUAUCGAACAGGAUUAGAUACCCUGGUAGUC
rnacentral:rRNA from 1 species